rnacentral:lncRNA from 10 species
GGGCAAUGAGCUUGACCUCCUGGCCCCUAGCCCUUUGAGGAGUGAUUCCCCCCGGUCUGGAAGCCAGGUGUCCUGGACCCUAGCCCCCGAGCGGUGGGGGGGGCCUGGAGAGACGGGGAGGAGGAAGGAGGGAGUGACUUCCAAAAUUGGCAUCGGGACAGAGCAGGGCUGGCGGGAGGCAGGCAAAAGACGGAAUUUUCCUGAAAAAACGGGGAUUUUUUUGGGAUUUUUUGGGGACCCCGGGACCCCUCUAGAUGGGGUGAGGAAUGUAGUGUUGGGUGAAUCUGACUGGGGCAUUGCAGCUGCCUCUCCCGCCGAGUUGGAGACGGAUGGGCUGGGACGGGUUUUGGGGGGGUGUCCCCAAUUCUGACUGGGAGUGGAGGAACCCCUCCUGAGAUCUCUUGUGGGGGUGCCCCCUCCCCAGGGCACUCCCCAGUCCCUGAGCCAGCCGAGAGGAAGGAGGCCAGCGAUGCGACUGGGGCGGCUCCUUUCUCCUGCACCCCAAAUGUGAGGGAUGCACCCUAAAUUUUGCUCUUUUCAAAAUAGGGGACCAGGAUCUCAGGGGAGAGUAGCUGAGGCCUUGCUCGGAGUCCCAGGAGAUCCACAGGUCCGGCAUGAACAGUGAGAGGUCAGAGGUGGAAGGCUCAGCAGGAGAGGAGAGGAGGAUCAGCAGAGGUCAUGAGAAGGCCAGAAUCCAGGGUCAGGCUGUCUGGAACAGGAAGUAAAAUGGGCCGAGAUGGAGCGAGCCCCCAGUGUGCUUCCAAGGCCACUCCCACCUCCCUGAAACACCCUGCUACGUACUGAUCCAAUGCCCUGCGCUGUGUAUGAGAGCACCUUCUCUUCUGAAACCCCUAUACAAGGGAGGGGCCCCUGCGGAGACCGUGCCCUGCCAUCCAGUCCUCAAGGGGAUUCUAAAAAACUAGUGACAAAGUAGGGAAGCAGCUGAGCUGGAAAGGAGUUCUGAGGACGAUGGAACCUUGGGUAAGGAGGAAGAAGGCUGCCCACCCGCCCUUUUCUGGCAGCCACCCUCCCUCACACUGUCCGUUCCUUGAUGACACAGCUGAUGUGAUUAAGAUCGUCCCCAAAUCGCUUCACAGCAGCCCUCA